AUUGAACGCUGGCGGCAGGCCUAACACAUGCAAGUCGAACGAGUGGCGGACGGGUGAGUAAUGUAUGGGAAACUGCCUGAUGGAGGGGGAUAACUGCUGGAAACGGUAGCUAAUACCGCAUAACGUCAGGAGUGCCCAGAUGGGAUUAGCGAGUUGGGGGGGUAACGGCUCACCAAGGCGACGAUCCCUAGCUGGUCUGAGAGGAUGACCAGCCACACUGGAACUGAGACACGGUCCAGACUCCGAAGGGAGGCAGCAGUGGGGAAUAUUGCACAAUGGGCGCAAGCCUAAUGCAGCCAUGCCGCGUGGCUCAAGAAGGCCUUCGGGUUGUAAAGGACUUUCAGCGGGGAGGCGUUACCUGCAGAAGAAGCACCGGCUAACUCCGUGCCAGCAGCCGCGGUAAUAC
rnacentral:rRNA from 1 species